rnacentral:pre_miRNA from 7 species
AUCUGCAGCUGGUGGUGAAAGACCCCCGAAGGGAGACCCUCACUCAGGCCUCGGGACAGCCGCGUACCCAAGAAGACACUGAGACCA